UACAUGGGGUGCAAACGUUGCUCGGAAUUAUUGGGCGUAAAGCGCACGUAGGCCGUUACUUAUGUCGGAUGUGAAAUCCCUCGGCUUAACCGAGGUAGUGCAUCCGAAACUGAGUAGCUAGAGUACGAAAGAGGAUCGCGGAAUUCCCGGUGUAGAGGUGAAAUUCGUAGAUAUCGGGAGGAACACCGGCGGCGAAGGCGGCGAUCUGGUUCGAGACUGACGCUGAGGUGCGAAAGCGUGGGGAG
rnacentral:rRNA from 1 species